AGUGAACGCUGGCGGUAGGCCUAACACAUGCGAGUCGAACGGCAGCACAGUAAGAGCUUGCUCUUACGGGUGGCGAGUGGCGGACGGGUGAGGAAUACAUCGGAAUCUACUUUUUCGUGGGGGAUAACGUAGGGAAACUUACGCUAAUACCGCAUACGACCUACGGGUGAAAGCAGGGGAUCUUCGGACCUUGCGCGAUUGAAUGAGCCGAUGUCGGAUUAGCUAGUUGGCGGGGUAAAGGCCCACCAAGGCGACGAUCCGUAUCUGGUCUGAGAGGAUGAUCAGCCACACUGGAACUGAGACACGGUCCAGACUCCUACGGGAGGCAGCAGUGGGGAAUAUUGGACAAUGGGCGCAAGCCUGAUCCAGCCAUACCGCGUGGGUGAAGAAGGCCUUCGGGUUGUAAAGCCCUUUUGUUGGGAAAGAAAAGCAGCAGGUUAAUACCCCGCUGUUCUGACGGUACCCAAAGAAUAAGCACCGGCUAACUUCGUG
rnacentral:rRNA from 1 species